UACGUAGGGCGCAAGCGUUAUCCGGAAUUAUUGGGCGUAAAGAGCUCGUAGGCGGUUUGUCGCGUCUGCCGUGAAAGUCCGGGGCUCAACUCCGGAUCUGCGGUGGGUACGGGCAGACUAGAGUGAUGUAGGGGAGACUGGAAUUCCUGGCGUAGCGGUGAAAUGCGCAGAUAUCAGGAGGAACACCGGUGGCGAAGGCGGUUCUCUGGGCAUUACCUGACGCUGAGGAGCGAAAGUGUGGGGAGCGAACAGG
rnacentral:rRNA from 1 species